GAUGAACGCUGACAGAAUGCUUAACACAUGCAAGUCAACUUGAAUUUGGGUUUUUAACUUAGGUUUGGGUGGCGGACGGGUGAGUAACGCGUAAAGAACUUGCCUCACAGCUAGGGACAACAUUUGGAAACGAAUGCUAAUACCUAAUAUUAUGAUAAUAGGGCAUCCUAUAAUUAUGAAAGCUAUAAGCGCUGUGAGAGAGCUUUGCGUCCCAUUAGCUAGUUGGAGAGGUAACGGCUCACCAAGGCGAUGAUGGGUGGCCGGCCUGAGAGGGUGAUCGGCCACAAGGGGACGGAGACACGGCCCUUACUCCUACGGGAGGCAGCAGUGGGGAAUAUUGGACAAUGGACCGAGAGUCUGAUCCAGCAAUUCUGUGUGCACGAUGAAGUUUUUCGGAAUGUAAAGUGCUUUCAGUUGGGAAGAAACAAAUGACGGUACCAACAGAAGAAGUGACGGCUAAAUACGUG
rnacentral:rRNA from 1 species